rnacentral:lncRNA from 1 species
AGCAGCAUCAUCUGCUCCAUCUGUGACAUCCACUCCAUCAUCUGGAUUUAGAGCUGCUGGUACUCAUCGACACAUGCAAUCAACUCAUCAGCUCACUGCUCAGCCUGUCUCUGCACCUCUACCAGUCGAGCAUCGCAGGCAGCAUGGAUGUCAACCCUAGAUGAGCAUGAGGAUGAGGGAGUAGUGAUCCCAUACCCUAGACCCCUAACAUA